UACGUAGGCAGCAAGCGUUGUUCGGAGUUACUGGGCGUAAAGGGUGCGUAGGCGGCUUCUUAAGUCUGGUGUGAAAUCUCCCGGCUCAACUGGGAGGGUGCGCCGGAUACUGAGGGGCUAGAGUGUGGGAGAGGAAAGUGGAAUUCCUGGUGUAGCGGUGAAAUGCGUAGAUAUCAGGAGGAACACCGGUGGUGUAAACGGCUUUCUGGACCAUAACUGACGCUGAGGUGCGAAAGCGUGGGGAGCAAACAGG
rnacentral:rRNA from 1 species